AGCGCCGUGAUCCGCAAGGGCCGCCGCCAAGCGCUCUUUCUCCCCUUCCCCUUUUCCGAGCGCCGCCGCCAAGCGCUCUUCUCCCCUCCCCCUUUUCCGAGCGCCGUGAUCCGCAAGCACCGCCGCUCUCGGCUGUGGCGAGAUUCCGUACCUGGACGAGAGCUCCGUUGAGACCACAAUCGCGACGAGAGUAGCGUCAGGGCCGCCGCCAAGCGCUGUUCUCGGCCGUGGUGAGAUCCCCUACGUGGACGAGAGCGCCGUCGGGAUAGGGACGAGCGUGGCAGCAGUUGGCCGUCGAAGGGCGUGGCCGCCUGGAGGGGCGCAUGUUGGCUGUCCACCCGAGGAUGCGAUGGGAUUGCACGCGGCCCAACCGGCUCCAGUAGCAGCACCUGGAUCCAUUGUGCAGGUGAGCGACUACGAUGACAAGUGAGCGGGUAUGCAAAGGAUGGAGGAAGAUGCAGCUCUAGCGAACUCGCACUAGAUCCACGGAACGAAGGCCAAAUGCUGCAGUUGCGGCGCGGUACCUCUACGCACCCACGUCGUGUUCUUUGCCUCCUCAACCGACCAUGCUUCCUUCGCCUCCUGGCUGCCGGUUCGCCUCCAUCAACGAGCGUUGCCCUCACCUGCUAGGCGGGGCUUGCUGAUUCAUGCCCUGAUGCCAGGUCAUGUAGGUUCAUGGAGUUUAGGUACCUGAGCGUGGAGGCAAUCCUUGUGCAAUUCAUUCUCAUGAUGCAGUUGAGUUGGUAUCUCCUUAAAGAACUUUAUCACAGUAUGAUCUGCUUGAUAGAUCGAUUGAGAAGCUUAGUGACACACUAUGGAAUGUAAGGACUGCUCGUGUUUAAAUCGAUGUACAUCAGCUUCAUUUGUUCUGUUUACUAAUCAUAGUGAAAUGCUACAUGAUUUUUGUGCCUCCACCUUUUUGUCCUGUGCAAAUUCGAGUUAAUAGACUCCUAGCCUUGCUUACUGAAUUAGUUUUAUAUUCAUGUUAAUAGCAAGCCACUUUUAAAAAAAAAAACUUAAUAGGAAAUUAUCUCUCAUUGUAAAGAUUUACUACUUAUCCUCUAAUUUUGGGAAUUUAGCAUCCUGCACUUUGGAUGUUGCUGCUGAUGACUACUAACCACAGUGCUUGUGUUGCCAUCUCUCUGCAACAUCGCUGAUCUCACCACUUGCAGUCCCGGAGCCUGCAACAGAUCGACUAUCGUGACGCACCCCACACCCACUGUACAAUUGAGCAGCAACGAUCGAUAGUCCUCGCCGCCUCUACUUCCUCGUCGCUGUGCCGCCUGUCCAGUAUGUAACCACAACCAUGGAGCUAUUGGAAUAGCUUGGAGCAAAGACUACGAAGAUGUACUUUUAGCGAUGGCGUAAUAGUGAAUUUUUUUUGGAGUACUAAAAAUGUGCUGGCUAUUUCGUGACAUAGCUGAUGUUUCUCAAUGAUCCAUUAUUUUAGAAAAAAAAUGAAAAUAAUCUUCCAUAGUAAAUAAAAUUGUUGUACAUAAAUCUCAAUACAUCUUGUCUGUGCAUCAGUAUCACUAAUCCAUUUUUUAUUUUCCAUGAAUCAGUAUAAAUCCUAAAGUAUGUACCAAGAGUAGAAGCUGAUAAUUAAUGAAUAUAUUCUGACAUCUUUUGGCAUAUGUAUUUUCUGAUGUCAUUAGUAAACUUAUUUUCACUUGUAUUUUUCUUUAGCUGAAAUUGUAAUUCAAUAUUAUAGCAAAGCUUUUGUUACUUUACAUUAUGCACAUUUUGUUGGUUUCAUCUUCUGAAAAGCACAUGACUGAAGAAUACCCUUAAAACUUACUUUUUCUUCCAUGAAUAAGUCUUUAUUUUUUAGAGUUUUUAAGAUAUUUGGAAUUUUCCAGUAUUAGCUUAUAACCAUUUUUUAUUACAUGUUCUAUUGCAGCUGAUGUUUUGCAUGGCUCUCAGAAGCCAAUUUUUUUUUGGUUUAUACUGAUGCUUACAUUGUAGUAACAAGCUGAACUUGACAAGGAUGUUAGUUGCCAUUGUAGGUCACCAGUGGCUUGCGACAAUUUCCUGACGCUUCUUGCAGAGAUUGUGCAGGUCAUGCUAGACAAGCGCUAUAUUUUGCAGGAGUCAUACGGUAGCUUCAAGGUGUUGUGACCGUAACUGAUAGUGCAUUCCUGAUGGUGUGGUGGUGAAGCCAAUGCAAAUUGGUGGGAGAGAUGACUUGCAGUAUAAAUGGUUUUCAAUGCUAUGAUGGUCAGAUUAGUCAAACAUUUUACAAACUUCAGCACUAUGACCAGAGAAAUGUAAUCCAUUUUAAUGCCUAGAGUUAGUGAGUGAAUCAAGUUGUGUAAUUUGGGUGACCUAUGGGAAAAAUAAGUUCUGUGAGUAGUAGAUGAUACACAAUUUAUCUACCUAUUGUAUACAGUUUAUUAUCUAUGACGGAGAGCUUGAGAAAUAUUAUUUGAAAUC